rnacentral:rRNA from 1 species
GAUGAACGCUGGCGGCGUGCCUAAUACAUGCAAGUCGAGCGAACAGACGAGGAGCUUGCUCCUCUGACGUUAGCGGCGGACGGGUGAGUAACACGUGGAUAACCUACCUAUAAGACUGGGAUAACUUCGGGAAACCGGAGCUAAUACCGGAUAAUAUAUUGAACCGCAUGGUUCAAUAGUGAAAGACGGUUUUGCUGUAACUUAUAGAUGGAUCCGCGCCGCUUUAGCUAGUUGGUAAGGUAACGGCUUACCAAGGCGACGAUGCGUAGCCGACCUGAGAGGGUGAUCGGCCACACUGGAACUGAGACACGGUCCAGACUCCUACGGGAGGCAGCAGUAGGGAAUCUUCCGCAAUGGGCGAAAGCCUGACGGAGCAACGCCGCGUGAGUGAUGAAGGUCUUCGGAUCGUAAAACUCUGUUAUUAGGGAAGAACAAAUGUGUAAGUAACUAUGCACGUCUUGACGGUACCUAAUCAGAAAGCCACGGCUAACUACGUG